GCCGGGAGUAGAGCCGAAAUAACAAAGCCGGGCACUGGGCCCGGCUUUGUCGUCGA
rnacentral:sRNA from 1 species